AGGAAGGAGUAAACAAAGAAGGAAGCAGCCGAACCUCGGGCGAACGACGUGUGUGAAGAACGGCCGCGGCCGAGGGUGCUCCGGGACGCGGAGAGAGUCGGAGGGCGCCGGCGGGAGACCGAGAGUCCAGGGUCUGCUAGUCGCUGCUGGUGAAUAAAAGGGAGAGAGGAGGCGCCUCUUACUGCUCUGCCGGAAAACUGCAGCCUGCGCUCCUGAUUGGACUCACCGAGCCCUAAACAAACAGCGCUCGCCGAAGGGUGCCAGGCUGUGGGUCGGAACUGCUCUCUACAAGCUGCUGGGUGCGGAGCGGGCCAAGGACUGGAAAUGAACACUGGCGGGGUUAUCAGUGCGGAUCUGUCAGCAGCGAGUGGCGCACUGCUUGUCCCAGGCAGCCGCAGUGGUGUACUUCUUAUUCCUUCGGGCCCACAAGGAGGAUUUCUCCCGACAAGCUGGACACUGGAAGGCUGCGGGAAGGGAAUUGAACAGGAGAAACACUCUUAUGGGAGUGGAUUUUUACACGCACACCCCACGUAAAUUAAAUCACUGUGGCUUCAGUGUGACUGCCUUUCUGAAAGGCUGAAAGUAGAAAACUCUGGAAUGGAGAGGCUGGCAACUGGAGCAGGAUUCGAAGGCUUUAAAUUUUAACCCGCGUUCGAUCGAAAGUUACUACCACAAGAGACUGGCACCGGCCGGCCCAAUUCCCACCAUGGCUUCCAGAGGCUUGCUUUGGGGUUGUCCGAAAAGGGAGAGACGGACAUUCCUGGACUAACAGACAGUGCUGUGCCUUGGUGAUUGGGGCCCCAAAGAGCUCACAGAAUCUGAAAUCUCUGAGGAAUAUCAUGCCUACUAAUAUGAAAGCCCUAAGCAAAGAAGGUCAGAAGCCCAGGGCCAAAGCAGUUAAGAUUCAUCAUCCCAUGUGUUCCGCAACACAAGCGCUCUGAAGGAAGAGUUCACUGACACAAACAUGGAGUAUAUGACAAGCUGUUCAUCAAGAGAGUGAAGAAGACAAAGAACCCAGGGAAGAGAUCGCCAGGAGUCACCAGUUGUCCUCACUGAGAGCCUAUACCUCCAAGCCUAAGUCCAGGCAAAAAAUGUCUUACAGGAUAUGGUCUGAGUAGUCCAACCAUGGAUAUGUCAUACUGGAGCAGCUGAGAACCUGGCAAUAGUCCACAAUGCUGGAUGUCUCCACAGUCCCAACCUGACACCAGAGACAUGGAGGACUCCUGAAGAACUUCUGGUCCUUAAGUGCACACUGGAAGCCCAGAGAAGCUAGCUCUAAUAUCAACCAAGAAUGCAGCAGAACAGGAGAUAGGCUUGCCCUCUCAUCAUCCAGGCUGCAACCAACCAAAAGACACUUUUGUGGAUUUGUAGUCUUUGCUUUUUCUGGACAGGGUUUCUCUGUAUAUCCCCAGCUGUCCUGGAACUCUCUAUACAGGCCAGUCUGGCCUUGAACUUAGAGAUCUUCCUACCUCUGCCUCCCUGAGCACUGGAAUUAAAGGCUUAUGCCACCUCACCCUGCUAAUACCGCCCACUUUUAGGAUACAUCUUUCUGCUUCAAAUGAUCAGAUCAAGAAGAGUCUUUUGAAAGAGCAGGAGGUUUGUGUUAUUCCAGAUCUAAUCUACUUGACAGGUAAGACUGGAGUUCCACCACUGGGACCCCACAGCAGAAGGAUGGACUCCCACAAGCUGUCCUCUGACCUCCAUACAAACCUUAUGGUGCAUGUUUGAGGAUAUACAUUUGAGUGUUUGCGCAUAUACACAAAAUGAAUAGAUGUAUUAAAAAGGAUUUUUAAAACCUUAUCUGGUGUUGCUCUGAGCAGGUGUGGUGAUGAUGAUUUUAGACCUUGGAGGAUUUGGGAAUAGAAGCAAUGGAGUCAGCUAAAAGAGUGUUCUUUGGCCACAAUAUACUGAGUUUGAGGCCAACCUAAUCUCUGAGGCUAAUCAAUCAACCAAUCAACAAAUCAACCAAUAAAAGAAAUGAGGUUAUGAGACUUUGAAGUAUCAGC
ensembl:lncRNA LOC100909782 uncharacterized LOC100909782